UGCAGAAACUCCUUAAACUAAUUGCAUACAGCUCUGAAACUACCUCUUCUAUUCAAACGUGGAGGAGAGAAACUCCACCACGUUUGAUGCAAAGCAGUUUGUCUCAAAUUGCAGCUUCCUCGAUUUCUCAAAUCUCAAUGAUCAAUUUGCAGUGUCCCUCAAGCGGUUUCUCUCGAACUCUUACGAUUUGCAUUUUGUUUCUCUCCCUACACUCUCAUCAGCACUAUCACUGCUCUCUCAGAUGAGCACUACAAGUUUAAGCCUGAUGUUGCAAGAGAAAAAUCCUGGGCAAAGCAAAAAAGAACAUGCACCAAUUUAACAACAUGCUGACUAAGAAAAAGGAUGGUCAUUCCCAAACAAGCAAGACCAGAGAUUGAACAGGAAAAAUCAUAAACACAGAGCAGAUGGUUGUGAAUACUUUGAUUGGUAAACGGGAGCUACUGUGCUCUUUAUGCAGUAAGGUUCACCAUCAGCUCUAGAUACGAGCAUCAUGGCAAAGUUGAAGUAUGCGUAAAUGGCAAGAGUUUUGGCCUUAAUUGGAAGUUGUAGCGAGGGUAACUAUAUUGGGACAUGUAAUGAGAAGAAAUGUUUAAGUAGCUGUGGGGAGGUAAUAAACAUGUUUACUUCUGGCCUAUGCUUACUCUAAGGUAAUUGCCAAACUAGUUAAUUACACACGAAGCUAAAAACUUUUGGCCAACUAACCUUAUCUUAAUGCUUUAAUACGCUACUUGGUUUCCAAUCCUGCUUAAAAUUGAAGAAUGACUACUCUUGCGGAGUUGUAUUGGACAGAAUAGCUAUCCUCGAGGUAACUGUAGCACCUGAGAAUUUUGAAGGUGAUCCGAUCGGAGGCCAUUUGCAGCUAAUGAUUCUCAAUUUCUCGAGUACACCAUUAAAGGUCCUCUAUCUUCAUUUCUCAUUGACAUUUUUUUCCUUGAUAACAUAGUUCACAAGGCUUUUAGCCUGUUAUUAUGAUUAAUAUUAACAAAUAUUCUUAUAGCGCGUUUAAUAAACCGGAAUGGAUGUUGAAGAAAAGGAAUGGAAUUCCUUCUUAAGUGAUUCCGCCGUUUACCAAAUUUUGGGAAUGAAAGAAUUAGUGGGCUCCACCCAAAAUCAGUAAUUGGAUUCUUGAUAUACUUGGAAUCCAAAUACUGACUUGGAGGUGGUAAUUGAAUUCCGUAAGAAAGCCAACAGCUGGAAUCAAACUUCUCUACCGAAAUUGUCCUAUCCCUCCCAUAUGCCUCCCACGAUUCAACCACCCAAAACACACCCAUCCCCACCCUAAACCACCACAGACUACCGGACCACCUCCCAAACUGCCAAAACCUAUCACCAACCCACCCCAACAGUUCUACAAACAAACUCCCGACAGCCCCAGAUCCAAAUUCGGAUGGGGAAAGAGAGAUGCAUAUGAUCAUAGAUAAAAGAAAAACCUUGUGAUAUACCCACUGCGAAUCGAAUUUCGAUUGUAGACGUUUUUACAGAGAGCAUAACAUAAAGCAUUGAGCGGCCGACAAAGGGUUGAGAAAUCCAAGAAUGGCCACAAGCAAGGAGUCCAUGGUUUACCACAAAAAAAAAAUCUUCAGGCUGAUAGAACCUAACAAGAUCAGGAAGGGCAAGAGCUGGCGCUUGGGGAUGAUCGCAAAAUCAAUUUAUGGAUGCAGACAGGGAGAGCUAGUGUUGUGGUGGAACGGUGGAGGUACCCGAACCUUCUUUUUAUUUUA